AACGAACGCUGGCGGCAUGCCUAACACAUGCAAGUCGAACGAGACCUUCGGGUCUAGUGGCGCACGGGUGCGUAACACGUGGGAAUCUGCCCUUGGGUUCGGAAUAACAGUUGGAAACGACUGCUAAUACCGGAUGAUGACGUAAGUCCAAAGAUUUAUCGCCCAAGGAUGAGCCCGCGUCGGAUUAGCUAGUUGGUGGGGUAAAGGCCUACCAAGGCGACGAUCCGUAGCUGGCUGAGAGGAUGAUCAGCCACACUGGACUGAGACACGGCCCAGACUCCUACGGGAGGCAGCAGUGGGGAAUAUUGGACAAUGGGCGAAAGCCUGAUCCAGCAAUGUCGCGUGAGUGAUGAAGGCCUUAGGGUUGUAAAGCUCUUUUACCCGGGAUGAUAAUG
rnacentral:rRNA from 1 species